GACGAACGCUGGCGGCGUGCUUAACACAUGCAAGUCGAACGGUGAAGCGCCUUCCUUUUUGGUGGGUGUGGAUGAGUGGCGAACGGGUGAGUAACACGUGAGUAACCUGCCCCCUUCUUCUGGAUAACCGCAUGAAAGUGUGGCUAAUACGGGAUAUUCUGGGUCUGUCGCAUGAUGGGUCUGGGAAGGAUAUUGUUUCGGUGGGGGAUGGGCUCGCGGCCUAUCAGCUUGUUGGUGGGGUGAUGGCCUACCAAGGCGGUGACGGGUAGCCGGCCUGAGAGGGUGGACGGUCACACUGGGACUGAGACACGGCCCAGACUGCUACGGGAGGCAGCAGUGGGGAAUAUUGCACAAUGGGCGCGAGCCUGAUGCAGCGACGCCGCGUGAGGGAUGGAGGCCUUCGGGUUGUGAACCUCUUUCGCCAGUGAAGCAGGCCUGCCUCGUUUGUGGGUGGGUUGACGGUAGCUGGAGAAGAAGCGCCGGCUAACUACGUG
rnacentral:rRNA from 1 species